GACGAACGCUGGCGGCGUGCUUAACACAUGCAAGUCGAACGGAGCACCCUUGACUGAGGUUUCGGCCAAAUGAUAGGAAUGCUUAGUGGCGGACUGGUGAGUAACGCGUGAGGAACCCUGCCUUCCAGAGGGGGACAACAGUUGGAAACGACUGCUAAUACCGCAUGACGCAUGACUGGGGCAUACCCGGGCAUGUCAAAGAUUUUAUCGCUGGAAGAUGGCCUCGCGUCUGAUUAGCUAGGAUGGUGGGUAACGGCCCACCAUGGCGACGAUCAGUAGCCGGACUGAGAGGUUGACCGGCCACAUUGGGACUGAGAUACGGGCCCAGGACUCCUACGGGAGCAGCAGUGGGGAAUAUUGGGCAAUGGACGCAAGUCUGACCCAGCAACGCCG
rnacentral:rRNA from 1 species